rnacentral:misc_RNA from 1 species
CACCACACACAACGGAUGAGCAUCCACACACACAUACACAAACACAUACACACACUCACACUCUCGUUAAACUGGAUGCAGGAAAAAAAAAACGUUAGUACGCUGCCACUUUGCUCUGUUAACAGUUACCAUCCUUGCUAUUCACGAUUGCUUCCCCUCUUUUACCUAUCUUGGUGUUUCUCCUUGUUUUUUUUUUCUUCUGCCCCUUCUCCCCUCUCUUUAGCGUCUUGGCGCAUCCAUCUGCGAACUCACGCACCUGCAUCCACACCCUCACCCACACCCCGUUCAAGGAGGCGCACGCCACUUGCUUCCCACGUUUGACUGCUGCUGCUGUUUAGGGGCUGCGUCGUGUGCCGCUUUUUUCUUCCUUCUUUCGUUCGUGCGUCGUACGUUGAGCGAGAGUGGAACAAGUAGAUACCACAAAAAAAAAUAAGGGGGAAGACAGAAGGCAAAAGGAGGUGGAGCAAGCUUUUUUCUUUGGCGGCGACUCGACUUUCACUUCGUUCACCUGCAGAUCUGCACGCUCCCACACAUCAUCGACAGGAUCGGAGCGUUUCGCAUCCUGCACGAAACACAUACACACACGCGUACACACAAAGCCCCAGAUAUAUUUCACCUGCUUUCCUUUUCCCGCUUUCUUUACUUUCGUCGCCUCCCCUCCUUGGCGCUCGCUCUCUGCUUUUUUUUGUUUGUCUCAGGCCGGGCGGAGCGCGGUGCCUGGAAUUGCCCUCCAAAGAAACAAACGUGCGAAACAGCAACAGAGAGCGUCUGUCACUUUAUCAGCGUUACAGCCCUCCCCCUCCCACUUCUCUCUCGGCUCUGCACCCAUCCGCGCAUCUGAACAGCACCCGCUCGCACUCAACAUCUGUUGCUCUCUCGAUUGGUUUACCCAGCUAAUUGGAAAAGUUCUCCUCACCCUCUACCAGCCAUCGGCCCAUCACGGGGGGAAAAAAGAAGCGGUCGUGGCCACACGGAACAAAAAAGAAAGUCCUUCUCCUCCCCAUCUCCCAAAAAGAGGAGUGCGUUAGUUUCUUUUUGUUUUCUUUCUUGUGCUUACAACACCCUCCCCCUUAAGUCGGCUGUUUUUGUUUUGUGGUGCCUGCAGUUGCUUGAAAUUCCUUCGCACAAGGGUACUGAAAAAGGACGAGCCACUCGUUCGGUCCUUUAGGAAACCAAAAGGGACGCUAUCGAUCCUGCGCAGGGUAAGAGGGCGCAGUUGGUAAGUGGCGUAGACUCACCGCUCACCGUGCCUCUCUUUCCUCCCUCUCGCUCUGCCCCUUUCUCAAGCCCACGACAGCAGCAGCAACAAGGAGAGAGCAACAACAACAAACGCGAAAAAAAAAACAAAAGAGGAAAACGAAUUAAAAGAGGGCGUUUUAUACACACAAACGAACCCUCUUCGUUUCUUUUUUUUUUCUGUUUCUCCCUCUUUCGUUCUUUCUCUCUCCCGUGUUCCACCUCCGUUUCUCUUCUUUGUCUUUCCGUUUUCUCUUCGUGCCAUCGUCCCUUCCUCCCCCCACUCCCUUCCUUUCCUUUCGCUCACCUCAUCUGACAAUCAGCCUAACUCUGUUCCCGGCUUACUGUGAGUCAUUUUCUUCUGUUGUUUGCCUUUCGGCGAUCAUGCGUUGACGUUUUUCGCUUUUCUUUCUGCAGCGCAACACCCCCUUUGCCCGUUCACUCUCCUAGUGGCCUCGCCUGUUCCCACACUCUCUACUUGGUGCUACUGAGGUUUGCUUUUUCGUUUUUGAGUCUUGCCUUGGUGUUUGCUCUCCGACUCUCCACUUCGUUCCGCCCGACUCUCCCUAUCUUCCUCUCUGUCUCACACCACAUUUCGUUUCUCUCUUUCUUCCCCCCUCUCCCGGAGCGUGCUUAUAUCUCUAUAAAGCGUUGAGCCCCUCUCUCUGUCGGUCUUUCUUCAUCUUUUUAGUAUUUGCCGUUUACCUGGUUCGUUUCUCUCUCCGAGUUUUUUGUUCCCACUGCGUGGCCUCUUUUUCCGUUCUGCCGUCUCUUAUCUGUUUUGCUUCACCUGCAUCUGCCCACUCCCCACUUUCAGCGCUUUAUCGGUUCUCGAGUUGUCUUCCUUUCUGUGCCUCUCCCUAGCUUUUCUUUUUCUUUUCGGCUGCCACGGCCAUCCUCAUCUUGUCGAAGAUCAUUUGCCGAUCAAGACUUCUCCACUGCGCAUAGAGUUCUACGCUCUGAGUGAGACGCUGACCCAGGCUAGUGUUUUCUGUCCUUUCUAGCCGUUGUCGUCGUCGCUGCAUUGCUGCCCUGUCGAGUAUCCCUUUGACUUCUCCCUCCCCCUAUUGUGGCUUCUUCUGUGCUUCUGCAGGUACGCCGCGGCGCUGCUGGGCUGAGGUUCGCCAAACGGAGAAUCUCUACCGGUGCCGCUUCCGUUUCGCUUUUUUUUCUCUUGUGUGCUUGUUGUUGGGCGGAGCGUGUGCGCGCACGUGUGUGUGUGUGAUCCCCUUGGCUCCUCUUUUUUCUUUGUCCCCCCCCCCUGUGCAUGGGUGUCUUGCUCUUUCCUCCCGGCCACGGUUUUCGCCUUUUUUGCGCAUUUUUUCGUUUGUAUUUUUCUUCCCCUCUGCCGCUCUCUCUUGUCUUGCUCUUCAAACCAUGCCUAGUGGGAACCCGCAGCACCGCAACUGGAGCUCUUCCAACUCGGGGGAAGUCGGAUCGCGCCAGAGUCCCGUAUCCACCUCGGAAGGCCGCCGCAGCCCCAAUGGGCGUCGCUCCUACCAAGAGCGCAUCACGACGGUGCGCUUUAUCCAGCCAUCGACGGGCGAGACGAUGUGCACGAAACUGAACCGCGUGCAGCGAACCAAGACGAAGCCCGAGAACAACGCGGAGCUGUGCGAGAGUUUUCUCAAAGGCCACUGUGAUUCUGGCAACGGGUGCCAGUACGUUCACGUGCCAAAGCAGUACCUGUGGCGCCUGCUGAGCCCCCAUGUGGACCCCAAGACGCUCUUCUACUAUCCUGGCUUCAACGUACGCUGCUACACCCCUGACAUGAACGUCUACUACGACAUCCCUAGCGAGUUCAUCUACCAAACGAAAGGAAGUGACCGCUACGUGGAGCUCUUCAACGACAACGGCGACAACUUCAAGGACAAGUGCCGUCUGUGCCCAAACCUACAGUCGCACGGCAUCUGCGACAACAACGAGCAGUGCGACGACAUACACUGUGCCGUGGCCGACCUCGAUCAGUUUCCGCACAUUGCCACCCACCGCGCCACCAAGGAGGCUGUUGCCCGCUAUGAGCACAUGCCACCAGAGCUCAUCGUGCGAGUCUACCAACCCAACACACCAGGCGACGGCAUGGACUUCAACGGCGACGAUGUUCUUCGAACAGCAGGUGCCACACAGUACGAGGACGCUUACAAGCAGACCGGGGGCAUUCCGGCGCUGAAGAUGCAGCAUUGUGCCCACUUCCAAACGAAGAAGCUGUGCCGCAUGGGUGACGGCUGCCGCUUCCUGCAUGUCGUCUCCGUUGCGUUAGCCAGCCCGGCGCCGGAUGAGGAGGCGUCGAUCCGCUCGUCGCCGGCCCCAGCAACGACAACGGCGUCUGCCACCAGCGCACCUAGCGCGGCCACCCCCACCCCCACCGCGGCGAAGACGCCCACAGCAACGACGAUUACAGCUACCGUAACCGCAGGUCGCCAGCUGCGCGAGGAGGACGUGGCGAUGAACGCAGCGGCUGAGAUGGCGGCGAUUGCGAUGGCCGCCGAAGAGCCGCUAUACAUUGGCUCUCACGUGGACAACACCGUGCCACAGGGUUCGAGGAACGGACGCCUACACAAGUACGGCACGCAGGCGAUAGUGCCGCAACAGCCGCAACCGUAUCAACCGCCGCAGCAACCGAGCUCCAUCUAUCCCUACGGUCCAGUGUCGAUGGGAGCAGUGAAAGAGCGCGUCUCGCCGGUGCAAUACCGCUCCAGCGGGCGUCUAUCGCCUAUUAAAGUAGUCGUGACGCCGGGCCAAAUGGAGGGGGCGCCAGCGCAGCGCCUUUCGCCGAUGUCUCUGCCGAGUGGUGGCUCAUCUGGGACACCUACACAGCAGCCCCAUAGUCGCACUUCGCCGCUGCGCCGCAACAACCCUUACUCACUCUCGCCCUCCUCCACGAGCCUUAACUAAGCGGCAUCAGAGGCGCACCACUACCGUCAUCGCAAUCCAGCACACCCUCCCCCCUUACACUUGUAUCAUUACACUGACUGCCGUUGUACUCGCCGGAGUGCUCAUCGCCUGGCAACGUGUGCGGCGUUGGCGACCUCCUUGGUACCCCCUCACUUCCUCUAGUACCAGCAGCACACACGCACACGCACAUGCUUACGCCGACACAGUUUCGUCGACGCGCAUGACCAGACCUCCUUCCUUUCUUCUUAUUUGCCAACUUGGCCCUUUUUCUUGCCCUACCCUUUUCCUUGCCCUUCCUGAACCUUUCCAGUCCCCCCCCUCCUCCUCCUUGUUCUCCCAAUCACUUUCCCUCCGUUUCUUAUAAACAUGGAUCCCCUCUUGCACGCCUUCUUUUUUGUUUUCUUCCCCUUUUGUUCGCUUCCUCCUCUCCCUCAUCUCUCCUUGCUCCGUGCUGCUUUUUUGUUUUGCCUGUUGUUACAUGGAGAGCGACACAAUGCCGCCUCGUCUCACCCCACCUCCCCCUCUCUUCUACUUUCAUUCUGCGCUUGCCGCUUUCCUUUCGAUGGUCUCUUCUGUGCUCCUCAACGAGCCCGUGCCGACUCGACGAGAGGAUACCGCGAGAGAAUUGCCUUUAUCACCUGCAUACUCCUCUGGUGUCUUGGCAAGGGGAUCUACAAGCGUGGUCGUGCUACCUGCAAGCGCGCCGGGUGAUGCUCUUGUGCCUUACGUGUGUCUUGCUUGAGGUUUGAUGCCUUCUGUGUGUAUGAGCGCGCAUGCCUGCCCGAUAUGCUGCGCGCUUGUCGUGCAUAAUUCUCUUUGUCACUUCUCCGUGCGCUAGUACGACACCUCCCUACCCCAACGAAAGGGGAACAAAGAGGAGCAUAAAAGAUGCUCGCGAAAAGCUCAUAGACAGGCAAAGAAAAACAAGUAAACGGAAAGAUGUCGGCGAUUUGUCAGAUCAUCUGACUGUGACUUAACCCCAUCUGCGUUUUUUUCGUUUUUAUUCUUGAGUGAUGUACUCUCGGUGCCGUGGUUUUCUUUCAAAAUACGUUUGGCACAUUUUUUAUUUUUCCUGUUGGCGUCUUCAUGGUUUGCACCCCUCCUUGCUUUUUGUUUUCUUUUCCGAGCCUCUGCGGCCGCUGAGCAUGCGUAGCUCGACUCCUGCUCGUUACGUUCCGCACCAUUUCCUGUUCCCUUUUGUUUUCUGUUCGGUUGUGAAGUGAAAGGAUCAACCAGGAAAACGAAGGGAGAAGAUGUGAUGCAAUCAGGAGAGGAGGCCAACACUCGAGUAGUUGCACACGUGCUCUCCCUUUUUCAGGUUCAAUUACCUUCAGACAAAC